rnacentral:lncRNA from 1 species
UGAUUCAAGGGCAAGUAAUGAGGGGAACAAACUGUUGAGGUGAUUAACAUGUUGCGUGCUCCUCCGAGAGCAGAACAACGACAUCACAGGUUUGGCUGGGACUGCGGUGGUCCUCUACGCCCUGUGCAAGUGUCAACUUCUGGGCCAUUAGCAAGUUAAGGAAAAGGACCCUCUUCGCCCUCAGAGGACCACACUGCAAACCUGAAACCAGCGCCCUCCACCAUCUGGUGUUGUGCUCCUCCGUCACUCUUCUCAGCCUGGCAAGACGGCCGAGCCCCAUUUCAACAUCAGCAGCAAGUUGCACCAUUUCCAGUGACCAGCAGGCAAACACCAGUCCAUGGUUUUGCAGACAAGGCAGGAUUCUCGGUCCAGUUGUUUUGUCUCGACCGUGGCAGGAGGCCACCCUUUUUUAUUUUGUGUAUUAAAUUGGAAAAAGCAUGUUCAUCGGUGAGGAAGAAGGACCCACCACUGCGAA